UGGAACCGCGUUAAUCGGUCUCGUGUGAUGGGAUCAAGGCGGAUCAUUCGAAUCGUACUCGGGGGUCGACAGCGGCAACACACAGAUCGCUUAAGAUGUUGCCGAUUAAAAAAAGCACCGCGAGAUGACCAAAAUACCAUUACCACAGGAUAGUCGCGCUCUAACAGUGAUUCAUAACCAAGAAGGCCGAAGCCGUUGAU
rnacentral:rRNA from 1 species